GAAGCACGCCAGACCGCCGCUGGUGCAAGCUGGGAAACCAGGCACUGGAGGAAGGUCCGGACUGCACAGGACGGCGUAGCAGCUAACGGCUGUCCACCGUGAGGUGAGGAUCAGAGCAACAGAGACGAGUCUGGGUGCGCAGCACCCGGGGUGAAACGGGCAAUCUCUACGCGCAGCAAUACCAAGUAGGCCAGUCUGAAGCCCUCGCGGCUUCGCCCUGUGGUUCCGCAGGGAGCGCUGGCGGGUAGGUAGCACCGAGCCGUGGUGGCGACACCCGGCCCAGAUGAAUGGCGGUCAGCUUCGGGCGACCGAAGCCACAGAAUCCGGCCUAUCGGCGUGCUUCACUU
rnacentral:RNase_P_RNA from 1 species